rnacentral:rRNA from 1 species
UACGGAGGAUUCAAGCGUUAUCCGGAUUUAUUGGGUUUAAAGGGUGCGUAGGCGGUCGGAUAAGUUAGAGGUGAAAUCCCGAGGCUCAACUUCGGAAUUGCCUCUGAUACUGUUCGGCUAGAGAGUAGUUGCGGUAGGCGGAAUGUAUGGUGUAGCGGUGAAAUGCUUAGAGAUCAUACAGAACACCGAUUGCGAAGGCAGCUUACCAAGCUACUUCUGACGUUGAGGCACGAAAGCGUGGGGAGCAAACAGG